AUAACUAAAACGUAAGGGUGCACACUUCAUGGGAAAUUCCCUAAAUUGGGACAAGAUGGCUUCCUAAGGUCUGAUGACGUAUCAUAGCCUUGAAGAUGCUAUUGCAUUACUUGUUUUAUAUUAAGCUAAGACAAAUUGGCAUAAACAUAUUAUGCACUAAAAGUUGGUAAGAGGUUAUUGCUUAAAGAAACAUGUAUGAAAAACAAUAUGUUCC